rnacentral:tRNA from 1 species
GCGGACGUGGCGGAACCGGUAGACGCAGCGGACUUAAAAUCCGUUUCCCACAAGGAGUGAGGGUUCGAGUCCCUCCGUCCGCACCA